UUAUGGCCAUACCACGUUGAAACACCGUUUUCCGUAUGGUCACCGAAGUUAAGCAAUGUCGAGCCUGGUCAGUAGCUAGAUGGGUUACCUCUUGGGGAUAUCAGGUGC